rnacentral:rRNA from 1 species
GAACGGAGGUAAGGCUUCGGCCUUAUCUGAGUGGCGGACGGGUGAGUAACACGUGGAUGACGUACCCUGGUGUGGGGGAUACCCUCCAGAAAUGGAGGCUAAUACCGCAUACGGUCUGGUGGAUCGAGCCAUCAGAAGAAAGCCGGAAGGCGCAGCAGGAGCGGUCUGCGGCCGAUUAGCUAGUUGGUGAGGUAAGAGCUCACCAAGGCGGCGAUCGGUAGCUGGUCUGAGAGGAUGAUCAGCCACACUGGGAUUGAGAACGGCCCAGACUCCUACGGGGGGCAGCAGUGAGGGAUCUUCGGCAAUGGGGGCAACCCUGACCGAGCAACGCCGCGUGCAGGACGGAGGCCUUCGGGUUGUAAACUGCUUUUCUCAGGGGCGAGUUUUGGACGGUACCUGAGGAAGAAGUCUCGGCUAACUACGUG